GCCCUAAAUCUAGCCUAUAAAUUUUUUAUACAAACCACUAGCAGCCAAAAUAUAUUAAAACAUUUUAACUAUUUAGUAGAGGCGAUCAAAAAAUAUACUAGCGCCACAGAUCAUGUACCGCAAGGGAAAAAUGAAAUAGAAGUGAAAUAAUACUAAAGCACCAAACAGUAGAGCUUAUCCCUCGUACCUUUUGCAUCAUGGUCUAGCCAGUCUAUUCAAGCAAAAUGAUUUUUAGUCUGAACCCCCGAAACUAGGUGAGCUACUUCGAAACAGUCUCAAGGACUAACCCGUCUCUGUCGCAAAAGAGUGGGAUGAUUUCCAAGUAGAGGCGACAAACCAACCGCACCUGGAAAUAGCUGGUUACUCAAGAAAAGAAUAUAAGUUCAACCUUAAGUUUUUUAAUUACACGAAAAGCCCAUUAAACUUAAGAGCUACUCAAAUAAGGCACAGCUUAUUUGAAAUAGGAUACAACCUACAACACAGGGUAAAACUCAUGAACAAGUAACUAGUGGGCCUAAGAGCAGCCACCUUCAAAAAGCGUUAAAGCUUAAUACUUACUCUAAAUAAAUACCUUCACCUUCCCUGAACCCUUCACCAAUAUUGAGUAACUCCAUAAAAUUAUGGAAGUUAUAAUGCUAGAACUAGUAACAAGAAACAGACUUUCUCCAAAAUGCAAGCCUAAGCCACAAUAGACAAUCUAUUGGCAAUUAACGCAAAUGAAAGUAUUAUAGUAACUCUAACAAGAAAAACCUAUACCCUCAUGCGUCACCCUUACACCAGAGCAUUAAUGGAAAGAUUAAAAGAAAAAGAAGGAACUCGGCAAACCCGUGCCCCGCCUGUUUACCAAAAACAUCGCCUCUUGACACAAUAUAAGAGGUCCAGCCUGCCCAGUGACAUAGUUUAACGGCCACGGUACCCUAACCGUGCGAAGGUAGCAUAAUCACUUGUUCUUUAAAUGGGGACUUGUAUCAACGGCAUCACGAGGGUUCUACUGUCUCCUUUCUCUAAUCAGUGAAACUAAUCUCCCCGUGAAGAAGCGGGGAUACCACCAUAAGACGAGAAGACCCCAUGGAGCUUUAAACCCAACUACACCCCUACUUUCCAUAUCCGCUCAACCAACAGGGCCCUGUACGCUUGGUUUUAGGUUGGGGUGACCACGGAGUAAAAUUAAACCUCCACGAUGAACGGGAAUACCCUCUUAUCUAAGAGCCACACCUCUAAGAAUUAGUAUACUAACAUAAAAUGAUCCGAUACUCGAUCAACGAACCAAGUUACCCUGGGGAUAACAGCGCAAUCCAUUUCAAGAGCCCCUAUCGACAAAUGGGUUUACGACCUCGAUGUUGGAUCAGGAUACCCCAGUGGUGCAGCAGCUACUAAAGGUUCGUUUGUUCAACGAUUAAAAUCCUACGUGAUCUGAGUUCAGACCGGAGUAAUCCAGGUCGGUUUCUAUCUAUAAAAAGCUACUCCCAGUACGAAAGGACAAGAGCAGCGCAGCCAAUAUAUAAACAAGCUGCCAAUCACCACUUAUGAGUCCCACUCAAUUAGACAAGAAUUAAAACCAACCCUAGACCAGGGUCU
rnacentral:rRNA from 1 species